CGGCUGCCUGCUCUGUGGGACGUUGUGGGCAGCAGGUGCGGGGCUGGCCCACUGAGGCCGGCGGAACUGAACGUCUGUCCCCUCAGUGUCCGGCCCGCCUAGGAGCAACGGGGACCCAGGAAAGACAAGACACGGUCCCCACCUGAAGGGGGGGCCAAGCUGGAGGGCAGCCUGGGCCAACGCAGUGGAGAAAGGGGGUCCACAGGGCCAAUUCCCAGGGCAAAGCCGGGUCUCCUGGCCACAGGGCGGCCCAGGCUUGGGAUGGUUCCAGAACACCCGCUCCUCCACCUGAUGUCUUCCCACCGUCAGAGACGGCCAGCCCUGCCCCUGGGGGCCCAGGUGCCCACUGACGCAGCACAUACCCGUCCACUAAAGGGUCACAGACCCGGGGUGGACACUCUAGACGGCCACUGUCAGCAGGGGAGCUUGUGGUCUUGUCCCUUCCCCCGUCGAGGCUGACGCCCGAGGGUCCCCAGCAGACCCCUGGCUGCCCAGCAGACGCACCUUCGUCCCACCCUCAUUUGCUAAGGAACAGUUUAAAGAUGGAGCGGGAGCUUCAGGGCCUGUCACCGUCACCUCCCCGCCACCUCCUUCUAUUCACCUGCGUCCUCCCCACCUGGAAGCCUUCUGCUCCCGCCAGGUGGGCAGUCUGCCCGCUGCCUGAGCUGGUCCUGGGCUGGGAAUCCUGCCCCCCGGGAGCCUGGGGUCUUCAUGACCGCAGGGCCGCUCCUGGUCACCACGUCCAGCGGGGAGGCCCUCGGUGACGACUGAACUCGGGGUGUGUGGUACUGGGGACUGAACCCAGGUGUGUCCGCCACUGAGCCACACCCCGUCCUUUUUAUGUUGAGACAGGAUCUCCCUAAAUGGCCCGGCUGGCCUUGAACUCGCGAUCCUCCUGCCCCGGCCUCCCGAGCGCCUGUGAUGGCAGGCUGCGCCACCGCCCGGCCCGGC
rnacentral:lncRNA from 1 species